AUUGAACGCUGGCGGCAGGCCUAACACAUGCAAGUCGAACGAGUGGCGGACGGGUGAGUAAUGUCUGGGAAACUGCCUGAUGGAGGGGGAUAACUACUGGAAACGGUAGCUAAUACCGCAUACCAUCAGAUGUGCCCAUAUGGGAUUGGCUUGUUGGUGGGGUAAAGGCGCACCAAGGCGACGAUCCUGAGCUGGUCUGAGAGGAUGACCAACCACACUUGAACUGUGACACGCUACCGACUCCUACGGUAGGCAGCAGUGGGGAAUAUUGGACAAUGGGCGCAAGCCUGAUGCAGCCAUGCCGCGUGUAUGAAGAAGGCCUUCGGGUUGUAAAGUACUUUCAGCGGUGAGGCGUUACCCGCAGAAGAAGCACCGGCUAACUCCGUGCCAGCAGCCGCGGUAAUUC
rnacentral:rRNA from 1 species